rnacentral:rRNA from 1 species
UAGGGAAUCUUCGGCAAUGGACGGAAGUCUGACCGAGCAACGCCGCGUGAGUGAAGAAGGUUUUCGGAUCGUAAAGCUCUGUUGUUAGAGAAGAACGUUGGUAGGAGUGGAAAAUCUACCAAGUGACGGUAACUAACCAGAAAGGGACGGCUAACUACGUGCCAGCAGCCGCGGUAAUACGUAGGUCCCGAGCGUUGUCCGGAUUUAUUGGGCGUAAAGCGGGCGCAGGCGGUUCUUUAAGUCUGAAGUUAAAGGCAGUGGCUUAACCAUUGUACGCUUUGGAAACUGGAGGACUUGAGUGCAGAAGGGGAGAGUGGAAUUCCAUGUGUAGCGGUGAAAUGCGUAGAUAUAUGGAGGAACACCGGUGGCGAAAGCGGCUCUCUGGUCUGUAACUGACGCUGAGGCUCGAAAGCGUGGGGAGCAAACAGG